GACGAACGCUGGCGGCGUGCUUAACACAUGCAAGUCGAACGAAGUGGCGAACGGGUGAGUAAUACGUGGGUAACCUGCCCUCCUUUUUGGGAUAAGCCUUGGAAACGGGGUCUAAUACCGAAUAUAGGGGGAUGGGCUCGCGGCCUAUCAGCUUGUUGGUGGGGUGAUGGCCUACCAAGGCGGUGACGGGUAGCCGGCCUGAGAGGGUGACCGGACACGUUAGGAGGGAUAUACGGCCCAGACUCGUACGGGAGGCAGCAGUGGGGGAUGUUGCGCAAUGGACGAGAGCCUGAUGCAGCGACGCGGCGUGGGGGAUGAAGGCGUUCGGGUUGUAAACCUCUGACGCAAUCGAACGGGUAGUUGGAGAAGAAGCGCCGGCUAACUACGUGCCAGCAGCCGCGGUAAUAC
rnacentral:rRNA from 1 species